rnacentral:rRNA from 1 species
UACGUAGGGUGCGAGCGUUAAUCGGAAUUACUGGGCGUAAAGCGUGCGCAGGCGGUUCGUUGUGUCGGUGGUGAAAUCCCCGGGCUCAACCUGGGAAUGGCGAUGGAUACUGGCUCGCUAGAGUGUGAUAGAGGAUGGUGGAAUUCCCGGUGUAGCGGUGAAAUGCGUAGAGAUCGGGAGGAACAUCAGUGGCGAAGGCGGCCAUCUGGAUCAACACUGACGCUGAGGCACGAAAGCGUGGGGAGCAAACAGG